GUUACUUAAAUGUAGAGUAUGAUUAAGUGCAAACAAUUAUCCACAAUGUGUGUCAUUUAAUCUAUUUUUAUCUAUUUUAUCUUUCUAUCCUUCAUAAAGAACAAACUUGUCUGGCCAUAAAAGGACCUGGCAGCAAGUUAAAGUUAAAUACAAGAACAUUUUGCAGGCUGCAGUUAAAAAAAAAGACCAUAGAACUGGCACAGGGGGCGGCCCACCAAGCCAGGAUAUGACCCCGGCGGAGGAGCUGGCACUCCAUUUAAAUAAAGGGAGGCCAGUGAUGGAGGGAAUCCAGGGAGGGACAGUAACGGACUCUAUCCCAGCCACAGAAACUGUCCGCUUCAUACAAGUGUCUGGGAACACGCUUACACUUUUGGAGCCACCAGAAGAUGAUCCGGGGGAAGGCACAUCUGCAGCUGCAGAAUGCACUUCUGCAGAUGAGGAGACUGUGUCACUGGACUCCAGAAGGCUUGAGGACACAGAUGAUGCACAGUCUCCUAAGCAGCCCGGU